rnacentral:rRNA from 1 species
GACGAACCGUGCGAACGUUAUUCGGAAUCACUGGGCUUAAAGCGCGUGUAGGCGGACGGGCACGUCGGUGACUGAAAGCCCCCGGCUCAACCGGGGAAGUGGUGCCGAUACGACCCGUCUGGAGGGACGUAGGGGGAGCUGGAACUUCCGGUGGAGCGGUGAAAUGCGUUGAGAUCGGAAGGAACGCCCGUGGCGAAAGCGAGCUCCUGGACGUCUGCUGACGCUGAGACGCGAAAGCUAGGGUAGCGAACGGG